UACGUAGGGUGCGAGCGUUAAUCGGAAUUACUGGGCGUAAAGGGCGCGUAGGCGGCCUACUAAGUCAGACGUGAAAUCCCCCGGCUUAACCUGGGAACUGCGUCUGAUACUGGAAGGCUUGAGGAUGGGAGAGGGAUGUAGAAUUCCAGGUGUAGCGGUGAAAUGCGUAGAUAUCUGGAGGAAUACCGGUGGCGAAGGCGGCAUCCUGGACCAUUACUGACGCUGAGGCGCGAAAGCUAGGGGAGCAAACGGG
rnacentral:rRNA from 1 species